GACGAACGCUGGCGGCGUGCUUAACACGUGCAAGUCGAACGGAAAGGCCCUGCUUUUGUGGGGUGCUCGAGUGGCGAACGGGUGAGUAACACGUGAGUAACCUGCCCUUGACUUUGGGAUAACUUCAGGAAACUGGGGCUAAUACCGGAUAGGAGCUCCUGCUGCAUGGUGGGGGUUGGAAAGUUUCGGCGGUUGGGGAUGGACUCGCGGCUUAUCAGCUUGUUGGUGGGGUAGUGGCUUACCAAGGCUUUGACGGGUAGCCGGCCUGAGAGGGUGACCGGCCACAUUGGGACUGAGAUACGGCCCAGACUCCUACGGGAGGCAGCAGUGGGGAAUAUUGCACAAUGGGCGGAAGCCUGAUGCAGCAACGCCGCGUGCGGGAUGACGGCCUUCGGGUUGUAAACCGCUUUCGCCUGUGACGAAGCGUGAGUGACGGUAAUGGGUAAAGAAGCACCGGCUAACUACGUGCCAGCAGCCGCGGUGAUACGUAGGGUGCGAGCGUUGUCCGGAUUUAUUGGGCGUAAAGGGCUCGUAGGUGGUUGAUCGCGUCGGAAGUGUAAUCUUGGGGCUUAACCCUGAGCGUGCUUUCGAUACGGGUUGACUUGAGGAAGGUAGGGGAGAAUGGAAUUCCUGGUGGAGCGGUGGAAUGCGCAGAUAUCAGGAGGAACACCAGUGGCGAAGGCGGUUCUCUGGGCCUUUCCUGACGCUGAGGAGCGAAAGCGUGGGGAGCGAACAGGCUUAGAUACCCUGGUAGUCCACGCUGUAAACGGUGGGUACUAGGUGUGGGGUCCAUUCCACGGGUUCCGUGCCGUAGCUAACGCUUUAAGUACCCCGCCUGGGGAGUACGGCCGCAAGGCUAAAACUCAAAGGAAUUGACGGGGCCCCGCACAAGCGGCGGAGCAUGCGGAUUAAUUCGAUGCAACGCGUAGAACCUUACCUGGGUUUGACAUGGAUCGGGAGUGCUCAGAGAUGGGUGUGCCUCUUUUGGGGUCGGUUCACAGGUGGUGCAUGCCUGUCGUCAGCUUGUGUCGUGAGAUGUUGGGUUAAGUCCCGCAACGAGCGCAACCCUUGUUCACUGUUGCCAGCACGUUAUGGUGGGGACUCAGUGGAGACCGCCGGGGUCAACUCGGAGGAAGGUGGGGAUGACGUCAAGUCCUCAUGCCCCUUAUGUCCAGGGCUUCACGCAUGCUACAAUGGCUGGUACAGAGAGUGGCGAGCCUGUGAGGGUGAGCGAAUCUCGGAAAGCCGGUCUCAGUUCGGAUUGGGGUCUGCAACUCGACCUCAUGAAGUCGGAGUCGCUAGUAAUCGCAGAUCAGCAACGCUGCGGUGAAUACGUUCCCGGGGCU
rnacentral:rRNA from 1 species